CCUACGGGUGGCAGCAGUGAGGAAUAUUGGUCAAUGGCCGAGAGGCUGAACCAGCCAAGUCGCGUGAGGGAAGACGGCCCUACGGGUUGUAAACCUCUUCUGUCGCGGAGCAAAGAGAGUGACGUGUGACCCAUCGAGAGUACCCGAAGAAAAAGCAUCGGCUAACUCCGUGCCAGCAGCCGCGGUAAGACGGAGGAGGCGAGCGGUGUCCGGAUUUAUUGGGGUUAAAGGGUGCGCAGGCGGGGGUGCAAGUCAGCGGUAAAAUGGCGGGGCUCAACCCCGUACUGCCGUUGAAACUGCAUCCCUUGAGUGCGCGAGAAGUAUGCGGAAUGCGUGGUGUAGCGGUGAAAUGCAUAGAUAUCACGCAGAACUCCGAUUGCGAAGGCAGCAUACCGGCGCGCAACUGACGCUCAUGCACGAAAGCGUGGGUAUCGAACAGGAUUAGAUACCCGAGUAGUC
rnacentral:rRNA from 1 species